rnacentral:rRNA from 1 species
CGGACGGGUGAGUAACGCGUGGGUAACCUGCCUCACACAGGGGGAUAGCAGUUGGAAACGGCUGAUAAUACCGCAUAAGCGCACAGUACCGCAUGGUACAGUGUGAAAAACUCCGGUGGUGUGAGAUGGACCCGCGUCUGAUUAGCUAGUUGGUAAGGUAACGGCUUACCAAGGCGACGAUCAGUAGCCGACCUGAGAGGGUGACCGGCCACAUUGGGACUGAGACACGGCCCAA